CUCGUAAAUGAAAAAAUGAGAGCUGUAAUAUAAAAGAAGCAAAAUUAAAAAAUUUUCUAUUUUUUCAAACACAGAAAUAAUGUGAUAGCACAAAGAUUUGUUAAUAAGGAUAGAAGAUAACGAGUAACUUGUCAAACAAAACAUCACGGCAACGUAGGACAGAGCAGUAUUUACGAGCUAAAAAAAUUAUGUAUAUAUAAUUAAUGUAUAUAUUAAAAAAAAAAGUGUAUUUCCGUUUUCUUAGCGCUACUUACCAUGGCAAAAUUUUCUAUCUUUGCCACAAAUAUGUAGCCGAUCGAAUAGUAAAAAUCUUUACUAGUUCUUGUCAUUAAAAAUAAAAUCAGUUUUUGUGAUGUAACAGGCAUUAAAUACCAUGAUGUAUUAUAUCUAAAAAUAAACUUUGUUGUUAAAAAAAAA